rnacentral:tRNA from 1 species
GCCGGUGUGGCUCAGUGGACAGAGCGUCAGCCUAGGAACUGAAGGGUCCCCGGGUUGGAUUCCUGGUCAAAGGCA